rnacentral:rRNA from 1 species
GGGGGGGGGGGGGGGGGGGGGGGGGACGGGGGGGGCGGGGGGAGAGGGGGGGGGGUGGCGGGGCGGACGGGAGCGGCGGGCGGGUGAGGAACACGGGGAUAACCUACCUAUAAGACUGGGAUAACUGCGGGAAACCGGAGCUAAUACCGGAUAAUAUAUUGAACCGCAUGGUUCAAUAGUGAAAGACGGUUUUGCUGUCACUUAUAGAUGGAUCCGCGCCGCCUUAGCUAGUUGGUAAGGUAACGGCUUACCAAGGCGACGAUGCGUAGCCGACCUGAGAGGGUGAUCGGCCACACUGGAACUGAGACGCGGUCCAGACUCCUACGGGAGGCAGCAGUAGGGAAUCUUCCGCAAUGGGCGAAAGCCUGACGGAGCAGCGCCGCGUGAGUGAUGAAGGUCUUCGGAUCGUAAAACUCUGUUAUUAGGGAAGAACAAAUGUGUAAGUAACUAUGCACGUCUUGACGGUACCUAAUCAGAAAGCCACGGCUAACUACGUG